rnacentral:rRNA from 1 species
AUUGAACGCUGGCGGCAUGCUUUACACGUGCAAGUCGAACGGUAACAGCACUUCGGUGGCUGACGAGUGGCGAACGGGUGAGUAAUACAUCGGAACGUGCCUAGUAGUGGGGGAUAACUACUCGAAAGAGUAGCUAAUACCGCAUGAGAUCUAAGGAUGAAAGCAGGGGACCUUCGGGCCUUGCGCUACUAGAGCGGCUGAUGGCAGAUUAGGUAGUUGGUGGGAUAAAAGCUUACCAAGCCGACGAUCUGUAGCUGGUCUGAGAGGACGACCAGCCACACUGGGACUGAGACACGGCCCAGACUCCUACGGGAGGCAGCAGUGGGGAAUUUUGGACAAAGGGCGCAAGCCUGAUCCAGCAAUGCCGCGUGCAGGAUGAAGGCCUUCGGGUUGUAAACUGCUUUUGUACGGAACGAAAAGCCCUCUUCUAAUACAGGAGGGUCAUGACGGUACCGUAAGAAUAAGCACCGGCUAACUACGUG